rnacentral:rRNA from 1 species
UACAGAGGUCUCAAGCGUUGUUCGGAUUCAUUGGGCGUAAAGGGUGCGUAGGCGGCGCGGUAAGUCGGAUGUGAAAUCUCGGAGCUUAACUUCGAAACUGCAUUCGAUACUGCCGUGCUUGAGGACUGGAGAGGAGACUGGAAUUUACGGUGUAGCGGUAAAAUGCGUAGAGAUCAGGAAGAACAUCGGUGGCGAAGGCGCUCUGCUGGACCAUAACUGACACUCAGGGACGAAAGCUAGGGGAGCGAAUGGG